GAGUUUGAUCGUGGCUCAGGAUGAACGCUAGCGGCAGGCCUAAUACAUGCAAGACGAACGGUAAGUUGAGUAGCAAUACUUGACCUAGAGUGUCGUAAGGGUGCGUAACAAGUAUGCAAUCUGCCCUCAACAGGAGAAUAGCUCCCCGAAAGGGGAAUUAACACUCCGUAAUAUGGAUGUGUGGCAUCACACGUUCAUUAAAACUCCGGUGGUUGAGGAUGAGCAUGCUUCUGAUUAGCUAGUUGGUGGUGUAAUGGACCACCAAGGCGAUGAUCAGUAGGGGAACUGAGAGGUUGAUCCCCCACACUGGCACUGAGAUACGGGCCAGACUCCUACGGGAGGCAGCAGUAGGGAAUAUUGGUCAAUGGAUGCAAGUCUGAACCAGCCAUGCCGCGUGCAGGAAGAAGGCCUUCUGGGUUGUAAACUGCUUUUGCCA
rnacentral:rRNA from 1 species